CCUACGGGUGGCAGCAGUGGGGAAUAUUGGGCAAUGGGCGCAAGCCUGACCCAGCAACGCCGCGUGAAGGAAGAAGGCUUUCGGUUUGUAAACUUCUUUUCUCAGGGACGAAGCAAGUGACGGUACCUGAGGAAUAAGCCACGGCUAACUACGUGCCAGCAGCCGCGGUAAUACGUAGGUGGCAAGCGUUAUCCGGAUUUACUGGGUGUAAAGGGAGUGUAGGCGGCAAAGCAAGUCAGAUGUGAAAACCAUGGGCUCAACCUGUGGCCUGCAUUUGAAACUGUUUUUCUGGAGUACUGGAGAGGCAGACGGAAUUCCUAGUGUAGCGGUGAAAUGCGUAGAUAUUAGGAGGAACACCAGUGGCGAAGGCGGUUUGCUGGACAGCAACUGACGCUGAGGCGCGAAAGCGUGGGGAGCAAACAGGAUUAGAUACCCGGGUAGUC
rnacentral:rRNA from 1 species